rnacentral:rRNA from 1 species
UCCCCCUUAUUUAAUCUGGCGAGUGAAGCGGCAAAAGCUCAAAUUUGAAAUCUGGCACCUCUGGAGUCCGAGUUGUACUUUGGAGAGGCAUCUUCGGGAGGGGCCCCGCCUAUGUGCCUUGGAACAAGGCGUCCUCAUAGGGGGAAAUCCCGUCCUUGGCUGGAUGUUCCCCUCCUGGAUGUAGUGUCUUCUACAAUUCAAGUUGUUUGGAAAUGCAGUUUAAAUGGGAUGGUAAUUUUCAUCAAAUCCUAAUACUGGGGAAGACCGAAUAGCGCAAAGUAAUAGUGAUCAGGGAAUGUAAAAACUUUGAAAAAAAGUUCAAACACCGUUGUGUGUUUAUUGAAAGGCCGCUUGAGCCACUUAAGGUUUGGCUUAAACUGUCCCUUCUGGGGGUGUCUUGUCUGGUUGACCCCAUCCAUUUUGGUACUGGAGAAAGGGGUGGGGAAUGUUACUCCCUUAUGGAGCGUAUAGCCAAAGCUCAUUGCUGUGCCUGGAACGGUGGCCCUCCAUUCGGCACGAAUGCUGGCUUAUGGGCCUUCACCGCCCCUUCUUGAACCACGAACAAAGGAUCCUAACGUCUAUGCAAUUGUUUGGGCUCCAAACCCUCACCCUUAAUGAAAUUAAAUGGAGUUGGAAACCCUGAAAUGAGCGCACCAUCGACCGUCCCUGAUGUAUUCGGAUUGAUUUGAGAAAGAGCAUAUUUGUUGCGACACGAGGGAGAGAGAACUAUGCCUGAGUUGGGUGAAGCCGGAAAAAACUCUGGGUGGACGCUCGCAGCCGUUUCUGACUAUCUAAUCGAUCGAUAUAUUUUGGUUAUGUGGGAGAACUAACUAUCUUUCCAUCUAAUAGGUGGUUCCCUGCGUAUUCUCCCCUAAGAACUGUAAACACCACAUCUAUCUCGUCAAAUCUCUACUCCCCUCA